rnacentral:tRNA from 1 species
GAGUGUUUUUUCUAGUGGUAUGAUUCUUGCUUUGGGGGCAAGAGGUCGUGAGUUCGAUUUUCACAACACCCC